rnacentral:rRNA from 2 species
GUUCUUAAAUAUGAAUAAUUUAAAAAGUUAUCAAAGGAAAUCUUGAUAGAAAAAUAAAGACGUCGCGCGACGAAACAUCAUAGAAAGGCACUUGCUUAUGAACUAUGAGUUUCUUUAAGAAAACUCGCAUUUAAUAUGCUUUUAUACAUUUAUGUGAAUUGAAUCAUCUUAGUAACAUAUUAAAAAAUCAAACGAGAAUUUGUAAGUAACGGUGAGUGAAAGCGAAUCUAGCUGUGUGCUGAAACCCAAAGAAGGUAAUUAAGUCCUUUGUAGCAUUAAUAAUAAUACAAAGUAGUAUGAUUAAUUUUGUACGAAAAUAGGAGUACCAUCUUCUAAGCUAGAAAUUUUUCUAAUCGAUAGUGAACGAGUACUGUGAAGGAAAGAUUUGAAUUUGCUAAUUUAUAUUUAUUUGAAGCUAAUAUAUAUAGCAACAAAGUGCCUUUUGCAUAAUGAGUCAGUAAGUUAAUGUAUGUAGCAAGCUUAAAAGUAUUAAGGCAUUAAAAGUUACAUGUAUUAGACCCGAAGCCAAGUGAUCUAUUUUUAAGCAAGCUGAAGAUGUUUUAAAACGCAUUGAAGGGCUGAACCCACGUCUGUUGAAAAAUACGGGGAUGACUUAAGAAUAGGGGUGAAAGUCCAAUCAAACUUGGUGAUAGCUGGUUUUCCGCGAAAACUAUCAAAGUAGUACGUUGCUUUUAAAAAAUGUGGGUAGAGCUACUUAUUAAACUUAGAUUUUGCUAUGUUUUAUUAAACUCCAAACUAUAUUUUUUCUAAGCAGCAGACAGUCAUUAGGCGAUAAGGUCUAAUGUCAAAAGGGAAACAACCCUAAUCGGUAGCUAAGAUCUCAAAAUUAUGAAUUAGUGAAAAAAUGAAAAAUAAUUCGAAUAAACAGAGUAGGCUUAGAAGCAGCCAUCUAUUGGAGAAAGCGUUUUAGCUCAUUAUUUUUAUUUAUUUUGUUCAUUUAUAAUGUAAAGAGGCUUAAAUUUAUAUAUCGAAGCAUCGAAUUAAGUUAUAUUUAGCUUAGUGGUAGCGGAACGUCCUGUAGUCUUUUAUGUUAAUGUUAAAUUGCAUAUUAAAAAUCAGGAGUGCUAAUGCUGACAUGAGUAGCGUCAAUCAUGUUGAAAACAAAUCAUGAUCGUCUAUUGUUCAAGGGUUUUCAGUAAAUUUUAAGUAACUGAAUUUAGUCGGCCCUUAAAAAAAAAGCGAAAGCUGUAUUUGAUAGGAAAGUUGGUCCACAUGUCUGCAAAACAUUCUUUUGUUUUGUGUAAAAAAUCAAUAUUUUUAAAUUCUGCUCAGUAAACUAGCAACUUUAAGAAAUUGUUUUUCAGGAAAACUUACAUGAAGUUUGACCGUACCUAAAACCGACACAGGUGAACUUAUUGAAAAGAUAAAGACGAGUGAGCGAAUUAUACUUAAGGAACUCGGCAAAUUUGCUCUGUACGUUCGCAAAAAAGAGCACCUUAAAGGUUUCAAGAAUUAGGGGUAGCGACUGUUUAACAAAAACUUAAAACUUUGCAAAUUCUAAAGAAGACGUAUAAGGUUUGAUGCCUGCCCAGUGCUUGAAAGCGAAAAAUAGAUGUUAAUGCAUAUAUUAUAAACCCAAGUAAACGGCGGUCUUAACUAUAAGGAUCCUCAGGUAGCGAAAUUCCUUGGCGGGUAAGUUCCGUCCUGCAUGAAUGGCAUCACGACUACCCCACUGUCUCUAGUAUAACCUCAGCGAAAUUACAUUGUCUGUGAAAAUGCAGACAUCCUACAACAAGACGGAAAGACCCUAUGAUUCUUAACUAUAAUUUUACAUCGUAAUAAUUUUGUACAUAGUACAGUAAAAGUAGGAGUAUAUUUAUACAACUUUGAAAAACUACUUUGUGUAUAGAAAAUUACUUACUAAAGAGGAAAUGUGUAAAAGUGGUAGUUUACUUGGGACGAGGACCUCCUAAACUGUAACGGAGGUGCACAAAAGUAAAUUUUAAUUAGUUAUUUACACUAAUGUAACACGUAAUGGUAAAAGUUUGCUUGACGGUAAGAAUUACAAUUCAAACUGAGACGAAAGUCAGUCAUAAUGAUCCGGCAGUAACGUAUGGAAGUACUGUCGCUUAUCGGAAAAAAGAAACUCUAGGGAUAACAGAUUUAUCAUGGUUGAGAGUUCUUAUCGAUGCCAUGGUUUGAUACCUCGAUGUCGGGCCGAGUAGCCACGUUAACAUUAUAUAAGUGCUGACAGCUUAAAAGCGCAAAAAAAAUCUUCCUUUUUUUCUGGAACAUUCUAGAAGAUUACUAGAUAGAUCGGCUUACUAUUUAAUACUUGUAAGAGUAAGUAAGUAAAUACGAAAAGUUCAUUAUAAUUUAUACUAUAUUUAAGAACGGGUUUUAUCCCGUUCUUAAAUA